rnacentral:rRNA from 1 species
AGUGAACGCUGGCGGCAUGCUUUACACAUGCAAGUCGAACGGUAACAGGCCUUCGGGUGCUGACGAGUGGCGGACGGGUGCGUAAUGCAUCGGAACGUGCCCAGAUGUGGGUGAUAACGCAGCGAAAGCUGUGCUAAUACCGCAUGUGAUCUGAGGCUGACAGCGGGGGACCAGGCAGCAAUGUUUGGCCUCGCGCCUUUGGAGCGGCCGAUGUCAGAUUAGGUAGUUGGUGGGGUAAAGGCCUACCAAGCCGACGAUCUGUAGCUGGUCUGAGAGGACGACCAGCCACACUGGGACUGAGACACGGCCCAGACUCCUACGGGAGGCAGCAGUGGGGAAUUUUGGACAAUGGGCGCAAGCCUGAUCCAGCAAUGCCGCGUGCGGGAAGAAGGCCUUCGGGUUGUAAACCGCUUUUGUACGGAACGAAAAGGCUCUGGCUAAUACCUGGGGCUGAUGACGGUACCGAAAGAAUAAGCACCGGCUAACUACGUG